CCGCGCACCAGCAAGAGAAGGCAGUGCUUUUCUCAUGGAGAAAUGAAGUCUGUGGGGUGGCCGUCCACCUCCAGCAGGGAGGAGACCCUCAGCCCCAGGAGGCACAGGGGUCCUGCACACCUGCAGCUGCUCAGCAAUAGAGCCAUGGUGUAGUUUGUCCCCGCGAGGAGAAGGUGACUAAGAGCCGGGAGCUGGGCCCACCCCUCGACCACCUUGGGGCCUCCUCAAGGUCAGAAGGAUCUUUUAUUUUUUUGCUUUUCUUUAAAUUUGAUUAGUGCCUAUUCAUCAUUCAGAAUAAUGGGUUUCUUUUUAGCAUCUUGAUUGGUGCCUAUUACAUACUUUAUUUUUUAUGCAAUUUGCCUCUUCAUUGGCCAGUUGUCUCCUUCUCCCGCAAUGCAGCCUCAUUGAGGCCCAGUUUCAACUGUGAAGCCAACCUCAAGCCUCUACCUUGGCCAGACACAUAGUAGGUGCACAGACGGCUGCGGAAUAAAAAAGUGAAAGGGACUAUGGAUGGAGCUCAGUGGUAAAGUGCUUGCCUGGCAUGUGGAAUCCCUGGGUUCCAUCUCCAACACCAGGCAAAAGAG
rnacentral:lncRNA from 1 species